GCGGGCCCGGCCAUGGACGACGCUUGCGGCUCCGGCGCUCCGCUGAAUACUAGUCCAUCCAGGCCGCCGGCGUCUGCUCCCAGCCGGACACCGUGCUUGCCCACGCCUCCUACUGGCAGAUGACCAGGCUGGGCGCCUCCACCAUCCUCACCAGCGACCCAAAUCCACUGAUAGGAUGACGGCAUGCAGGUCUAGCUAUGAUGCAGGAGGAUGAAAUGCAGAACAAUGAGUUGCUCGAAGAAAUCUAGGAGACAAAGGAAGAAUUUCCUAAACAACAAAGAUGAUCUUCCUUGACCACAAAACUUCUCUUUGUAGUUAGUUUGGUAGAUCUAGGGUCUACUGACUAUGGUGUAAAUUUUUUUUUCAAAGUUUAGAUGCAAAAUGAGAUGUAUGAAACGGAUGCCAUUAAGAAAUGGUGUCAUGUAAGAAAUGAACCACAUGAAAAAUAGAUAUAAAUGAAAUUGUAUUUUGUUUU